CUAGGGUCACGCAACCACAGUGACUGGAUGGGAGACAACUACAAGAGACAUUCACAGAGAGGUCAGAGACAAGGCCGUCUUAUUUGUUUGGAACUACAUUUCCUUGAAGUGUCUGGAGGAUGCUUGUUUUCAAGACCUGGAUCGGAUCUCUCUGUUGUCACAAGAACUCCAGCUUCCUCACUGUGAACUUACAGAACCCAGACAUUGUCUGUACCCGCAAGAGUAUGUGCCCAUUUUUACCUUAGUGGUGUAGCUUUUGUUUCUGUGCAUAGAUUUCUCUCCACGUUUAUAUCCUCCUUGGGUCUAGUGAGGAGCAGAGACGAGGGCAUGGAAGAGAGGCAGAGGCCGGCCUGACCUCACAUUCUAGCUACUAGGAGCCAGGCCAGCGGUCGCAGCUCCCAGACCACACGCACAGGCAUGGAUCUUACAGCCCUCAGAAAUGACACCUACGAAGUUC
rnacentral:lncRNA from 1 species